UACGGAGGGGGUUAGCGUUGAUCGAAAUUACUGGGCGUAAAGCGCGCGUAGGCGGAUUGGACAGUUGGGGGUGAAAUACCGGGGCUCAACCUCGGAACUGCCUCUAAAACUCCCAGUCUUGAGUUCGAGAGAGGUGAGUGGAACUCCGAGUGUAGAGGUGAAAUUCGUAGAUAUUCGGAAGAACACCAGUGGCGAAGGCGGCCCACUGGCUCGAUACUGACGCUGAGGUGCGAAAGUGUGGGGAGCAAACAGG
rnacentral:rRNA from 1 species